rnacentral:rRNA from 1 species
UGGCGGUGUGCCUGAGAUAUGCAAGUCGAACGUCUUUUUGCCGCAAGGCAGAAGGUAGUGGCGGACGGCUGAGUAACACAUAGGGACUUACCCCUUUUUGAAGGAUAGCCCAUCGAAAGGUGGGAUAAUACUUCAUGGUAUAGGUACCGUAAGGUAUUUAUUAAAGAGAUUAACUUCUCGAUAAGGGAUGGACCUGUGGCUUAUCAGAUAGUUGGUGGGGUAACGGCCUACCAAGUCUACGACGAGUAGCUGGCCUGAGAAGGUGGUCAGCCAGACUGGAACUGAGACACGGUCCAGACUCCUACGGGAGGCAGCAGUGAGGAAUCUUCCACAAUGGGCGAAAGCCUGAUGGAGCAACGCCGCGUGCAGGAUGAAGGCCUUCGGGUCGUAAACUGCUUUUAAAAGUGAAGAAUAUGACGGUAGCUUUUGAAUAAGCACCGGCUAACUACGUGCCAGCAGCCGCGGUCAUACGUAGGAUGCAAGCAUUAUCCGGAGUGACUGGGCGUAAAGAGUUGCGUAGGUGGUUUGUUAAGUGAAUAGUGAAAUCUGGUGGCUCAACCAUUCAGACUAUUGUUCAAACUGGCAAACUCGAGAAUAGCAGAGGUAACUGGAAUUUCUAGUGUAGGAGUGAAAUCCGUAGAUAUUAGAAGGAACACCAAUGGCGUCGGCAGGUUACUGGGCUAUUUCUGACACUGAGGCACGAAAGCGUGGGGAGCGAACCGGAUUAGAUACCCGGGUAGUCCACGCCGUAAACUAUGGAUACUAGCUGUUGGAGGUAUCGACCCCUUCAGUAGCGUAGCUAACGCGUUAAGUAUCCCGCCUGUGUAGUACGAUCGCAAGAUUAAAACAUAAAGGAAUUGACGGGGACCCGCACAAGCGGUGGAGCGUGUUCUUUAAUUCGACGCUAAACGAAGAACCUUACCAGGGUUUGACAUCCUUGGAAUUUCUGUGAAAGCAGAAAGUACUUUAUUGGACCAAGAGACAGGUGAUGCAUGGCCGUCGUCAGCUCGUGUCGUGAGAUGUUUGGUUAAGUCCAUCAACGAGCGCAACCCUUGUGAAUAGUUGUAUUUUUCUAUUCAGACUGCCCCGGUAACGGGGAGGAAGGAGGGGAUGAUGUCAGGUCAGUAUUUCCCUUAUACCCUGGGCUAGAAACGCGCUACAAUGGCUGGUACAAUGCGCAGCGAAGUCGCGAGACGGAGCUAAUCGCAUCAAAACCAGUCCCAGUUCGGAUUGUAGGCUGAAACUCGCCUGCAUGAAGUUGGAAUCGCUAGUAAUCGCAGAUCAGCAUGCUGCGGUGAAUACGUUCCCGGGUCUUGUACACACCGCCCGUCAAACCAUGAAAGUCACCAACACCCGAAGUCCGAUUCGUCGGCCUAAGGUGGGGGGGAUAAUUGGGGU